CACGGAGAAUUUCCCAGGCUCGUGAGAGAGUUCCCUGCUUCCCCGGCAGCGAUGGCCCCCGUGUCCCGUUCUGCAAUCCGGAACGCGAGGCCCCGGGCUCCGCGGGGAAGGGUCGCAGUUCGUGGAAGCGUCCUGACCACAGAAAAUCCACCACGGGGCCCCGCGGGGCCGUCGCUCGCGCUCGCGCUCGCCCUCUCGGAAUAGCCGAGAAUAGCCCGAGCCCCCCACGGAGUGGCCUCAGCCCCGCGUUCCGGGACCGACCCUGCCCAUCCCGUUAGCGGUCACGUUCUCCGGAGCGGCCCUCUGCGCCGCGGGACACCCCUUCGCCUCUGCCUGUCGCGGCCGCUCCCCGCGCCGCUCCGGGACCCACAGGCCGUGGCCUGGCCUCCGGGACAAGGAGAGGGAGUUCAGCUCUGAUGAACACACACCAGUAGAGAUGAUGAGCUGAAGAAAAGCACCACGUCAGCUUCUACUUCAGAAGAAGAACAGAAGAAGAAGAGGAAAUCUAGCCAUUCAAAAGAAAGGUCCAAGAAAAAGAGAAAGAAAAAAUCAUCUAAAAGAAAACACAAGAAGUAUUCUGACAGUGACAGUGACUCUGACUCGGAGACAGACUCCAGCG